GAAAGAAGAAAGAGAAAAGCAGACAAAGAAAUUACCAGCUAAGAAGGGGAAGAUGAAGGUGGAUGGUAGUGCUAAGAAGAAGAAGGGUUCAAGUGGAUUUCAAGUUGGGAAGAAGAAAGUAGAGACUAAAAUGACUGCGUUGAAUAAAGCUAAAGCUAUGAACCCUGACAAAUAAAAACCUGCAGCUGGGACAGAGGGUUAUACAAUGUCACUAAGAUGAAGGCCAAGCGACUGAUAUGAUAAUGAUUCAGUCAUAGCUACAUUCCUUGCUGAUCUGUGUGAAGCGGUAUUUGUAUUUCGGAACAUUGUUUCUCCUAUAUUGUUUUGUGAAUGAAAUCUCAUUACUAUCCCCUCUUCGUAAUCUUUUUGGAAGCACCAAUACCUGGUGGAGCUUCACCAAUAUUAGAUUCUCUGUUCCAAGUACUCCCUCUCUCUGACAUUGAAAACUUUUAUAUAUUAUGGCAGUGGUGUAUAGGAAGUGGCUCUUAAUUGUGGAACUAUGAUUAUGAAUUGUGCAACAUGGAUGUGCACUAUUUUUUUUUGUUUUUCGUUUAAUUGGGAAAAAGUUACACUCUUCAUAUUAGAUUUGGCUUACUGAACUCCUGAACCCGUCAAAAUUGAUGGGUUCACUCUAUUUGGUACAA